GACAGAGGAGCCAAGCGUUGUCCGGAUUGACUGGGCGUAAAGCGCACGCAGGCGGUCGCGCGCGUGGGGUGUGAAAACUGGCGGCUUAACUGCCAGAGGCCAUCCCAUACGGCGCAACUCGAGCCAUGCAGAGGUCCACGGAAUUGCCGGUGUAGUGGUGAAAUGCGUAGAGAUCGGGAAGAACAUCGGUGGCGAAGGCGCUCUACUGGACCACAACUGACACUCAGGGACGAAAGCUAGGGGAGCGAAUGGG
rnacentral:rRNA from 1 species